AGGGAUCAAAGGGUGAAACAUCUCAAAUAAGCAGUCCAGUUUCAGGGCUCAUCUCUCUUGGCAGGGAGCAUGUGAAGUUUUUUGUAGCUCAUUCAUUUUCAGCCCUCUGCCAAAGGAGAGUUGCCCUAAAACUGGACUCAGCUUAAGGCUAAGGAGUGUGAAGUGAGGAUCAUUUUCGGCUAUGAGCUACUUGUUCAUUCAGUCUCUUGCUGAUUUGUUGAGGGAAGUGUCAAGUGACAACCUCUGUGCUUAUGUAUUUCGAUGCUAGGUUCUUUCUAGUGAUCAGGUCGGAUUUCAGCUGUUCAUCUGUGUUGAUCCUUUGCUGAAAUGUUCUGGUUUGUCGAGUGUUUUAUAUUCAUGAACCAGGGCAUCACCAGUUCGAUCAGUGUGGAAAAUAUUCAGAGUUCAGAUAUACUUGAGCAUAGGACAUUUUAACUGAUUUGAAAUUUUGCA
rnacentral:precursor_RNA from 1 species